rnacentral:ncRNA from 1 species
GAAAAAGCAGUGAUGAUAAAAGCUACGAUUUAAGAAUUUCUUCAGAGAGCCGAUGGAUGGUGAGAAUCGGUGAAAGGCUGAAUCUUUCCACUUUUGGAGCUGUCAGCGGUAAAGUACAUGAUUAUUUAAUUCAUGUGUUCAAGCUGAAAGAUUAGUAACCUUUAUAUUACUAUUUCGAGUGGUUGAUUUUAUUAUGAAUCAGCAAUUUGGGUGGCAACGCGGAUUAUUCCGUCCCAAUU